GGAAAUGUGGCUUAGUGGUUGAGUGUGUGCCUAGAAUGCAUGAAGCACUGGGUUCGAUUCCUCAGUACCA
rnacentral:tRNA from 1 species